GGAUUUUUUCAUAUGGAAUUGACAUUAAAGAAAUGCUUGCUGGUGCAUCAUUGAUGGAUGAGGCAAAUAGGACCACCGUGGUAAAGAUUUAUUAUUCAUUCUCUUAUUAUUAUUACUAUUAUUUUUAAGUCAUUGUUGUCUUCUGAUAGUAGUUUUGUUACUUGAGUAGCCAAACUAUUCUCGUCUUCUCAAGCAACUGAAUAAUGGACUUUCUACAAUUCCUUGCAAAGGAUGGUCCAUCUCUUUCU